GGAAUCUUAGACAAUGGGGGCAACCCUGAUCUAGCCAUGCCGCGUGAGUGAUGAAGGCCUUAGGGUUGUAAAGCUCUUUCAGCUGGGAAGAUAAUGACGGUACCAGCAGAAGAAGCCCCGGCUAACUCCGUGCCAGCAGCCGCGGUAAUACGGAGGGGGCUAGCGUUGUUCGGAAUUACUGGGCGUAAAGCGCACGUAGGCGGACCGGAAAGUCAGAGGUGAAAUCCCAGGGCUCAACCUUGGAACUGCCUUUGAAACUAUCGGUCUGGAGUUCGAGAGAGGUGAGUGGAAUUCCGAGUGUAGAGGUGAAAUUCGUAGAUAUUCGGAGGAACACCAGUGGCGAAGGCGGCUCACUGGCUCGAUACUGACGCUGAGGUGCGAAAGCGUGGGGAGCAAACA
rnacentral:rRNA from 1 species